GGGAAAGGUGAAAAGCACUUCGAACAGAAGAGUGAAAUAGUCCCUGAACCCAUACGCCUACAAGCAGUCGGAGCCGCUUCGUGCGGUGACGGCGUGCCUUUUGCAUAAUGAGCCUACGAGUUACUCAUCACCAGCGAGGUUAAGUACUUCAGGUACGUAAGCCGAAGCGAAAGCGAGUCUGAAUAGGGCGUCAAGUUGGUGGUGGUAGACGCGAAACCUUAGUGAUCUACCCAUGGGCAGGGUGAAGGUUUGGUAACACAAACUGGAGGCCCGAACCGGUAAACGUUGAAAAGUUUUCGGAUGACCUGUGGGUAGGGGUGAAAGGCCAAUCAAACUGGGAAAUAGCUCGUACUCUCCGAAAUGCAUUUAGGUGCAGCCUCUGUUGUUUUGUUCUAGAGGUAGAGCUACUGAUUGGAUGCGAGGGCUUCACCGCCUAUCAAAUCCGGCCAAACUCCGAAUGCUAGAACAUGAAGACAGGGAGUGAGCCAGCGGGUGCUAAGGUCCGUUGACGAAAGAGGGAGAACUCAGACCAUCAGCUAAGGUCCCCAAUUAUAUGCUAAGUUGGAAUAAAAACGGGGUGGGACUGCUUAGACAGCUAGGAUGUUGGCUUGGAAGCAGCCAUUCAUUUAAAGAGUGCGUAACAGCUCACUAGUCGAGCGGUCCUGCAUGGAUAAUACGCGGGCAUAAGCAUAUAACCGAAGCUAUGGGAUUGUAGAUGAUACAAUCGGUAGGAGAGCAUUCCAUUCAGCAUAGAAGCAGUAUCGUGAGGUAUUGUGGAGCGGAUGGAAAAGCAAAUGUAGGCAUAAGUAACGAUAAUGCGGGUGAGAACCCCGCACGCCGAAAGAUCAAGGAUUCCCCGGCAAUGUCAAUCAUCCGGGGGUAAGUCGGAUCCUAAGGGUAAGCCGAGUGGCGAUCCCGAUGGCAAACAGGUUAAUAUUCCUGUACUGAUCAUAACUGCGAUGCAGCGACGCAGAGGUGACACUGCUGCGUACUGACGGAAUAGUACGUUGAAACCCGUAUUCUUUGAUACCGGUAGUGAAGCACGCCGGUAGAGAUGAAAGGUGAUAGUACCGCAAUGCUUCGGUUGCGCGGAUAAUGCAGGUAAGCUGACUGCCAAGAAAACCUGCUAAGCUUCAGGUAAUGAUCAUCCGUACUGUAAACGGACACACGUGAUCAGGUAGAAAAUACUAAGGCGCUCGAGAGAUUCAUGGUUAAGGAACUAGGCAAAAUGGUCCUGUAACUUCGGGAUAAAGGACGCUCUUGUGAAAGAGCCGCAGAUAAUAGGCCCAGGCGACUGUUUACCAAAAACACAUGGCUAUGCUAAUUCGCAAGAAGAUGUAUAUGGCCUGACACCUGCCCGGUGCCGGAAGGUUAAGAGGAGAGCUCAGAGGUAACUCGAAGGUUUGAAUUGAAGCCCCGGUAAACGGCGGCCGUAACUAUAACGGUCCUAAGGUAGCGAAAUUCCUUGUCGGGUAAGUUCCGACCUGCACGAAUGGUGUAACGAUCUGGGCACUGUCUCGACCAUGAGCUCGGUGAAAUUGUAGUUCCGGUGAAGAUGCCGGAUACCCGCAACGGGACGGAAAGACCCCGUGAACCUUUACUGCAGCUUUGCAUUGAUUUUGGGUAACAGAUGUGUAGGAUAGGUCGGAGGCUUUGAUGCUGCGUCGUCAGGCGUAGAGUAGCCGUCGUUGAAAUACGACCCUUUUGUUAUCUGAGGUCUAAUCCCGUUAGGGAGACAUUGCAUGGUGGGUAGUUUGACUGGGGUGGUCGCCUCCAAAAGUGUAACGGAGGCUUCUCAAGGUACCCUCAAGGCGUUUGGUAAUCGUCUGCAGAGUGCAAUGGCAUAAGGGUGCUUGACUGUGAGACCGACACGUCGAUCAGGUUGGAAACAAGAGCAUAGUGAUCCGGUGGUUCCGCAUGGAAGGGCCAUCG
rnacentral:rRNA from 1 species